UUGUGCCAUUAGUCGAGUUGAAAUUUUGGUUGGUGUAGGGCAGCGUGUGAUUCGCACUUUAAUAGGUUUGGAACGUUCGGUGUUGAGUGUUUUACGUGUAAUUGUUUAUAAACACAUAUCUGUAUGAUUUACAUAUAUUAACAUCGAUUUUUGAUGCAUUGACAACAAGUACUAUGUAGAAAGUUCAAUAUUAUAAAAAAGUCAAUAAUUUGUGAUGAAGUAUGUUGUGAAUGGUUCGAUGCAUUUGUUGUGAUGAUACCAUGACGUGGUUGCUUAUGCGCACGAAGGAUGAAAGUGAUAUAGAGUGCUCAAAGGAUGGGAAAUUGUUACAGAAAAUGUGCGUAAGCAAAAACCAAUGUUUACCGAUUUUAAAGUGCCAAAGUAAUAAAACGAAUCAGCAAUGUGAUAAAGUAAAUCUGCUUUCUAACAGCAACGUUAAUAAGACUGGUUAUCAGUGAUAUUACACCAAAGAAUUGUGAUGUCUAAUAUUUGGAUGGAAAUAAGUAGAACGACCUGCAAAGCGAGAGCAUCAAACAUUUAUCAGCCUUGGAAACUGAUGACAUUUGUUCGAUAUUGAUUUAUCGAAAGAACCUGGAUGCACUCCAAAACCCGAUGACAGCUGAUCAACACACCCGGAAAAAAGGAACAAGAUUCUUCUGUGGGCCAUUCCAUUAGGUCAAUAUUUUGACUCAACAGCAAGUCACUUACUACCACUGAAAACAUAUUCAAAAAAAGCAAAGGAUAUGUCUCACAAAACGAAAAGAAAGAUCCUCGUUUUCUAGAUGUUAAAUAAUUGAAAAAAAUAAAAGGAAUGUUUCUAUUCAAACAAA